CACUGGGCUCUGUCCUGGGUGCGUUACCAGCAUUACUGCAUUUAAGUUCUCCUGCAGCCCUAUGAGGCGGUAUUACUACAUUUCUAUUUUAUAGUUGAAGAAAUUGAGAAAAUGAUGAAAAACUUGGUGAAGCCAGGUUUGCACUUUUUCUCCAGAGCCACUUUCACCCACUGAUCCUCAUACUCAAACAAAACAAAGUGAAAUAUCUCCUUCCCUUUGUCCUCCUCCAUAUUUAUGUAUUUCAUGUCUGUCCUUUUGGUUUUGCUAUUUGAAGUGCAUAGAGGGUUAAGAACUGUAUCAACCGAGGAAAUAAGCCUUUAGGCAUGUUGAAAGCAAAUGUAUUAUCAAAACACUAAGGAAUAGUUUUCCAAAUGUUCAUUGAGAUACUAAAAAGUAAAUGUAACUAAACUCUACCCAUCCUACAUGGCGCCUAAAAUUUCUAUAUUUAUUAUUAGUGGAAUAGUUAUUUUUAUACCAGGGAGCAUCUGCCAUUGCAUUGCAGAUAUCUGACUCAAGCCUUGAAUUUCUGAUCUUUUCAAUUGUGGAAUGUCAUCCUCACUGGCCAGACAGACAGAUGUGGAAUCCUGACAUGUAGCUUCUUAUUCUAUUAUCCUGUCUGGAGCUUUUUAUUUAUACAACUGCCUGUCUGUGUAUCAGCUUCUUGGGACAGGCUUUUAACUUUAUUUUUAAAGGAAUUCUAUCUUGUGGAUAUAAGACUAAAGCAAGCAACUUGGCAGGGGAUUGAUAAGAGUAAAAAAAAUAUUUAUCCUAAUGAGAUUUUCUACUGGCAAAUCCAGUUUUUUUUGCUGUAACAGGAAGCAAUUUUUAUUGCUUCUUUAAAAAUGUAGAGCUGGCCUUAUUUCCUGGUUCUGCCAUGGGAGACAGCUGAAAGAAGAUGCUAUCUUAAUCUUAGUGAUAUUAAACCUGCUAUUCCAACAGCAGAUGCAGCUCACUGGCAGCCCCACAUCCAUGUUGGCUCUGCAGAGCUUAUCUAUAUUUGUCAGGUACCUGGUAACUAACCAAAGGCAACUAACUAAAAGGCAACUUUUAAACUUGAUAUGGUGGAGUGGAAUGGUUUUCUCAGCUUUUCAACAGUGAACUACCUGGUAAAGAAGGAAUACUAACUCUGUUCAUGUUUGAAAUGAGGCACCUGUGGCUCUGUAUGUUAAAAUAUAAGGCAGGCCCAGUGGUGGCUGUGCCACUUUCACUACUAGAACCCUUUAGAAGGAGGCUAGUCUUUCCCCCUGGGUCUGCCCUGGGAUGCUCCCAUUCUUUUCCUUGUACCUAUUUCACUGUCCCACAUGUUGUCUGCUUGUAUCUGGAGCCCUUAAUCUCUUUCUUUGGGACUUUUCCUUCCCAUUUUUCACCUUCUUCCCCAUUCCCCACCCAAAGAUGGCAGUUUCCCCUUAUUUUCUUUAUUAGAAUCUUCUGCUAAGAAAGGAUUUACCAAGGUUUUUCAUGGAAAGACAAUGCUUCUUAAACGUUUCUACCACAUGAGCCACUAAAGUGGCUACAAAAGCAAAUGUUAUUUAGACAGAUUUGGCUUUAGCAUGAAAAUUUAUGCAAAUGGCUGUCCCACACCUCAAUAAAGCAUUUGCUUUAAAGCAAUAGUAACAUUUUUCUUUAUGCAUCUUUGAGUAAAACUGACACAGAAGGAAAAUGUUUCAUGUUUACUCUGUGGCUUGUCCAGCUCUAAUCACACCGACCCCCCCCCGCCCCCCCCCCCCCCCCCCCGCCAAUAUCCACCUUUUCCACACAGAGCACACUUCCUUGUGCUUCAGGGGAAAGGCAUGCCUAGUUGUAAGGCAAAGAGCAGCAAGAAUGGGGACAGUGACUGAAAAGGUGUAAUGAAUUGUCCCUCUCGGGGUCUGGUCUUUAAUUAGACACAAAACCCUAGUUUGACCUAAUCCUUUUUGCCGUGAACUUUUGUAUAUUUCCAUGCCACAUUUUGUGAGGCUCCCUGACAUAAAUAUAAGGGCCUUUGUCUUCUGAAGUAUUAAGAAUAACCAUUAACAGCAAUUUAGCACUUUUAAUACACCUGGCCUUGUUCUAAACACUAUAUAUAUAUAUAUAAACUCACUUAAUCACCAAAACAAUCUCACAGAAAAGGUCUAUGGUUGUUAUUCUUAUUUUGCACAUGAGAAAACUGGGCCACAAGGAAGGUGAGUAAAUUGCUCAAGGAUACCCAGCUAGUAAGUGAAAGCAAGCACUCUGGUUCUAGUCUGCUCUUCAACACAGAGAACAUUUCAGCAUUUUAGAAAUUGGCAGACUUGUGCUAGCCGAGUGGACCAGGAAGUCCUGAUAGAGUAUGACAGGUUACACUAAAGGGAUGAGAUGCUAACUGCAGAACUCUUUUGGGAGCCGACAGGAGCCAUUUUGUUCCCCGGGAUCACUCACUUCCUCUGGGGACCUGCCCAUUGUAUAUGUGUGAACGCAGGGUGUUUCUCUGUGACACAGCAACAUGGACCAUUUCUCUUCCCUACUUGGCCUUCAUUGCCUGGCAACUUUUACACAUGAACCUCUUUCAAUAUAAGAAGCUGACAGGAUAGAGAACGAUGAAGAAAGAGACCAUGAGUUCCCGGGGUUGUUCUUCACUCAUGAACUACCAUCUCCGACAUAAGGCAGGAAAAGGAAGCACCGAAGAGGACACAACAUCAUUUCUGUGGUAUUCUUGACCCAAAUGCCUAACAUGAAUUUAACCACUGGCAAAUAAUCUGAAGAGCAUCAAUUGAGGGACAUUCUACAAAAGAACUGGCUAAUACUUUAAAAUGUCAAAAUUAUGAAAGACAAAGAAAGGCCAAGGAACUGAUCCAGCUUAAAGGAGACCAAAGACACAUGAAGAUGAGCUGCAGUGUGUGAUCUUAAAGUAGAUAUGGAGUAGAAGGGACUAUCAGUGAGACAAUCAGAGAAAUACGAAUACAAUCUAUAGAUUAUACAUUAUUGUGUCAAUGUUAAUUUCUAGAUUUUAAUAAUAGUACAAUGGUUAUGUAAGAUGUUAACACUUGAGGGAAUAUGGGUGAGGGUUUUAUAUGAAUUUUUGUACUAUUUUUACUACUUUUUAAUUUUUUACAACUUUUACAAAAAUUUUAUCUAUUUAUUUGAGAGAGAGAGAGAGAGCAUGAGUCGGGGGGGGGGGAGGGGGAGAGGGAGAGGGAGAAGACGACUCCCCCUGAGCAGGGAGCUCGGCUGGGGGCUGGAUCCUAGGGUCCUGGGAUCACUACCUGAACUGAAGGCAGAUGCCUGACUGAGCCACCCAGGCUCCUCUAUUUUUACUUCUUUUUAUGUUUGAAAUUGUAUCAGUGGAUAGUUUAAAAUAGAAAAAAUAUAUACAAUAAAUAGAAACUUGAAAAAUCAUAAAAUAUAAGAGCAGUGGAAAUUAUGUUUUCUUCUCAUCCUGCCGUGGAUCAUAUAGCACGCCCUGCCUUAGAGGACUCCACGGGAAGGAGUCCGGCUCGGCACAGCUUGUUUAGAAGUGGCGGAUCGGUCUCUGGUGCUGGCAUGUUUCUGGAGGGAUGCAGUGAGAGAUGGGUUGGCUUCUGAUCCUGGACUCUGGGCUAGGAAAAUGUGAUUAUUUCUAAACCCCAAGGACUGUGCCUGGACUUCGACAGCCACGAGAUCAUAGGUAAUACUGACAACUCAAUACCACUAGCAUUUUUAUCUCAUUUGUGUGUGUAUGUGUGCAGGUAUUGACUGAAUCCUCAGUUUUCUCAAAGUAACACAUGUGCAUCACUUAAAGAGCCAAUGCCUAAAGGCUUAUAACCAAAAGCAGCAGACCUUCAACUCUUUGCCUCUAUACACCACAGAGGUAACCACUUCCAAUAUAUGUUGCUUAUUCUAGUAUUACUCUCUACGUUUCUCAAUAAUAUUUCUGCAUUGCGCCCUUGAUCCAGCCUUUUUAGACACUAUCUGUUGACCUCCCUUGGAGGUCAGGGUUUUAGCUCCCGCUCAUACAGCCUUCUAUCUUCACCAUCUUCCCAGUCUGUUCACAACUCAGUUUAGGGUUAAGUUCCUAUUCCGUGUCUUCAUAUUAAUGACUCCCUAUUUAGUGACCA